CCCGGUGACAGGUGCUGCAUGGCUGUCGUCAGCUCGUGUCGUGAGAUGUUGGGUUAAGUCCCGCAACGAGCGCAACCCUCGCCUUUAGUUGCCAGCAUUCAGUUGGCACUCUAAAGGGACUGCCGGUGUCAAACCGGAGGAAGGUGGGAUGACGUCAAGUCCUCAUGGCCUUUAUGUCUAGGGCUACACACGUACUACAAUGGCAGGUACAAAGGGCAGCGACACAGCGAUGUGAUGCGAAUCCCGAAAAGCCUGUCUCAGUCCGGAUCGGAGUCUGCAACUCGACUCCGUGAAGUUGGAAUCGCUAGUAAUCGUGGAUCAGCAUGCCACGGUGAAUACCGUUCCCGGGCCUU
rnacentral:rRNA from 1 species